GUAGAAGUCUGAUGUCCCUUUAUACCACAGGCUGGACCAUGUCCUUACAACAGCAGGUAGAAGUCUGAUGUCCCUUUAUACCACAGGCUGGACAGUCCAUGUCCUUACAACAGGCUGGACAGUCCAUGUCCUUACAACAGGCUGGACAGUCCAUGUCCUUACAACAGGCUGGACAGUCCAUGUCCUUACAACAGGCUGGACAGUCCAUGUCCUUACAACAGGAUGGACAGUCCAUGUCCUUACAACAGGCUGGACAGUCCAUGUCCUUACAACAGGCUGGACAGUCCAUGUCCUUACAACAGGCUGGACAGUCCAUGUCCUUACAACAGGCUGGACAGUCCAUGUCCUUACAACAGGCUGGACAGUCCAUGUCCUUACAACAGGCUGGACAGUCCAUGUCCUUACAACAGGAUGGACAGUCCAUGUCCUUACAACAGCAGGUAGAAGUCUGAUGUCCCUUUAUACCACAGGCUGGACAGUCCAUCUCCUUACAACAGGCUGGACAGUCCAUGUCCUUACAACAGGCUGGACAGUCCAUGUCCUUACAACAGCAGGUAGAAGUCUAAUGUCCCUUU
ensembl:lncRNA